rnacentral:rRNA from 1 species
GAUGAACGCUGGCGGCGUGCCUAAUACAUGCAAGUCGAGCGAACAGACGAGGCGCUUGCUCCUCUGACGUUAGCGGCGGGCGGGUGAGUAACACGUGGAUAACCUACCUCUAAGACUGGAAUAACUUCGGGAAACCGGAGCUAAUACCGGAUAAUAUAUUGAACCGCAUGGUUCAGUAGUGAAAGACGGUUUUGCUGUCACUUAUAGAUGGAUCCGCGCCGCAUUAGCUAGUUGGUAAGGUAACGGCUUACCAAGGCGACGAUGCGUAGCCGACCUGAGAGGGUGAUAGCCCACACUGGAACUGAGACACGGUCCAGACUCCUACGAGAGGCAGCAGUAGGGAAUCUUCCGCAAUGGGCGAAAGCCUGACGGAGCAACGCCGAGUGAGAGACGAAGGUCUCCGGAUCGUAAAACUCUGUUAUUAGGGAAGAACAAAUGUGUAAGGAACUAUGCACGUCGUGACGGUACCUAAUCAGAAAGCCACGGCUAACUACGUG